rnacentral:rRNA from 1 species
UACGUAGGGGGCAAGCGUUGUCCGGAUUUAUUGGGCGUAAAGAGCGUGUAGGCGGCCUGAAAGGUCAGCUGUGAAAACUCGAGGCUCAACCUCGAGACGUCGGUGUAAACCAUCUGGCUAGAGUCCGGAAGAGGAGAGUGGAAUUCCCGGUGUAGCGGUGAAAUGCGCAGAUAUCGGGAAGAACACCCGUGGCGAAGGCGGCUCUCUGGGACGGUACUGACGCUGAGACGCGAAAGCGUGGG